GUGCUCGCUAAGGCAACACAUAUAUUAAAAUAGGAACAAUACGGAGAAGAUUAGCUUGGCCCCUGUGCAAGGAUGACACUCAAAUUCAUGAAGUGCUCCAUAUUUGU
rnacentral:snRNA from 1 species